GACGAACGCUGGCGGCGUGCUUAACACAUGCAAGUCGAACGGAAAGGCCCUGCUUUUGUGGGGUGCUCGAGUGGCGAACGCGUGAGUAACACGUGAGUAACCUGCCCUUGACUUUGGGAUAACUUCAGGAAACUGGGGCUACUACCGGAUAGGAGCCCCUGCUGCAUGGUGGGGGUUGGAAAGUUUCGGCGGGUGGGGUUGGACUCGCGGCUUAGCAGCUUGUUGGUGGGGUAGUGGCUUACCAAGGCAUUGACGGGUAGCCGGCCCGGGAGGGUGGCCGGGCACCUUGGGACUGAGGUACGGCCCAGACGGCAACGGGAGGCAGCAGUGGGGAAUAUUGCACAAUGGGCGGGAGCCUGAUGCGGCAACGCCGCGUGCGGGAUGACGGCCUUCGGGUUGUAAACCGCUUUCGCCUGUGACGAAGCGUGAGUGACGGUAAUGGGUAAAGAAGCACCGGCUAACUACGUG
rnacentral:rRNA from 1 species